rnacentral:rRNA from 1 species
GAUGAACGCUGGCGGCGUGCCUAAUACAUGCAAGUCGAGCGAACAGACGAGGAGCUUGCUCCUCUGACGUUAGCGGCGGACGGGUGAGUAACACGUGGAUAACCUACCUAUAAGACUGGGAUAACUUCGGGAAACCGGAGCUAAUACCGGAUAAUAUAUUGAACCGCAUGGUUCAAUAGUGAAAGACGGUUUUGCUGUCACUUAUAGAUGGAUCCGCGCCGCAUUAGCUAGUUGGUAAGGUAACGGCUUACCAAGGCAAUGAUGCGUAGCCGACCUGAGAGGGUGAUCGGCCACACUGGAACUGAGACACGGUCCAGACUCCUACGGGAGGCAGCAGUGGGGAAUCUUCCGCAAUGGGCGAAAGCCUGACGGAGCAACGCCGCGUGAGUGAUGAAGGUCUUCGGAUCGUAAAACUCUGUUAUUAGGGAAGAACAAAUGUGUAAGUAACUAUGCACGUCUUGACGGUACCUAAUCAGAAAGCCACGGCUAACUACGUG